rnacentral:rRNA from 1 species
UACGGAGGGUGCAAGCGUUAUCCGGAUUCACUGGGUUUAAAGGGUGCGUAGGAGGGCAGGUAAGUCAGUGGUGAAAUCUCCAAGCUUAACUUGGAACUGCCGUUGAUACUAUCUGUCUUGAAUAUUUGUGGAGGUGGGCGGAAUAUGUCAUGUAGCGGUGAAAUGCUUAGAUAUGACAUAGAACACCAAUUGCGAAGGCAGCUCACUACUCAAUCAUUGACUCUGAGGCACGAAAGCGUGGGGAUCAAACAGG